rnacentral:tRNA from 3 species
UGUCUUCUCGACUAACGGCAAGUCACCAGGCUCUGACCCUGGCAAUUGAGGUUCGAAUCCUUGGGGGACAAC